rnacentral:rRNA from 1 species
UACGGAGGGUGCGAGCGUUGUCCGGAAUCACUGGGCGUAAAGGGCGCGUAGGCGGCUUCUCAAGCGUGUGGUGAAAGUCCGGGGCUCAACCCCGGAUCGGCCGUGCGGACUGGGGAGCUCGAGUUCUGUAGAGGCGGGUGGAAUUCCGGGUGUAGCGGUGAAAUGCGUAGAGAUCAGGAAGAACAUCGGUGGCGAAGGCGCUCUGCUGGACCAUAACUGACACUCAGGGACGAAAGCUAGGGGAGCGAAUGGG